rnacentral:rRNA from 1 species
CACAUGCAAGUCGCACGAGAAAGGGCUUCGGCCCCGGUAAAGUGGCGGCACGGGUGAGUAACACGUGGGUAAUCUGCCUUCGAGCGGGGGAUAACAUUCCGAAAGGAGUGCUAAUACCGCAUAAGACCACGCCCUCGAAAGAGGAAGCGGUCAAAGCUGGCCUCUAUAUAUAAGCUAGCACUUGAGGAUGAGCCCGCGGUGCAUCAGCUAGUUGGUGAGGUAAUGGCUCACCAAGGCUAAGACGCAUAGCUGGUCUGAGAGGAUGAUCAGCCACACUGGAACUGAGACACGGUCCAGACUCCUACGGGAGGCAGCAGUGGGGAAUCUUGCGCAAUGGGGGAAACCCUGACGCAGCGACGCCGCGUGAGUGAUGAAGGCCUUCGGGUUGUAAAGCUCUGUGGGGAGAGACGAAUAAGUGCAGCCUAAUACGUUGCAUGAUGACGGUAUCUCCUUAGCAAGCACCGGCUAACUCUGUGCCAGCCGCCGCGGUAAUAC